rnacentral:lncRNA from 1 species
UGAUAUUCUUACUGGGAUAGUGUAACUCAUACUUUCAUUAACUAUUUCAGAUCAAGAGAAUCAGGAUCCAGAGCCCGAUUUACAAGAGGAUUGUAAGUAGAACGUUCAGUCGUUUACUUUUAAUUUAUUUCAUUAGUUAUGAAUUGUUCUUUUAGAAUGGUUAUUCUCUUAAGUCCUAUUUGGUACUUUCAGUUAUUGUGUAAGGAAU